rnacentral:lncRNA from 1 species
ACGUUUAGUUGGUUAUUAUAUACUUUUAAGUUGGUGGAUAAUUAUCAACCAACUAAAAGUAUCAAUGUUCAAAAGAAAAAAUAAACCCAAAAGAGUCAACUCAAUCCAACCUAACCCAAAAAUAUGGAUUGGAUUAGCGAGUUGGUUUUUUUUUUCAUCUCCAUAACUUAUUUAGACAAAUUAUUAUAAUGUUUUUCAAUCGACAA